CUCCAGCCGGUUCCCGUCCCCCAUGCCGAGCGCCGCCCGAGCCGCUCCCUUCUCGUGGCCGCUUGCCUCCUUCUCCUCUGCAUCGCCAACUCCUCGUCUUCCCCUUCCGUUUCUCCUUCCUCGAUCAGAAACGGCCGCACAUCUUGGCCUUAAUGGCCGGCCACCAUGUGCUCGCCGCCCCUUCCCCUUGCCGUCUCCUCCCCUUCCUUCCUCGGUCUACAAAAGGCGCACCCAAGCCCCGCCUCGCUCUUUUCCUUGCUUUGGUGCCCCGCCCUCGCUCUCCCCAGUCUCGCAGCGCCGCCGCACGUCGUGCCCGGAGCGCCGCCACAGCUGAUCUCCCGCUCUUCCGCUCUUACUCGACAACAAACCACUGCCGGAGCUCUGCCUUGAGACGACACGCCGUUCGAGGGAAAUCAAGAGUAGCAAUUCGAAGAAGAAGAACAACAGUUUGGCAAGGAAGGCAAGUGGACUUCUCCCCCUGCAUAUUCCAUUUUGUCCCAAUAAUAUAUGAUAAUUCACUUUACUUUAUUGUUGAAUUGCAUAAAUUUGAUGGGACACCUAUUAAGGACUUUACCUAGUCUUUUACCCCAAAACCUUGAACACCGGGUUUAGUAUAUCUGUUGGGUAGAAAUGCUUAGUUGCUUAACUUUGGAAUGGUAAUAUCAUAAUCUUUUGAGAAUGUUAUUCAUGCUUUAUAUAUGCUGUUAUGUUGUGGUUAAUUACAAGAUCAUAUGAUUUAAUUGGAACAUGGAGAACCACCCAGGAAAACAGUACAACCACAAGGACCACAUGGCUCUGGUCUUGGCUGAUUAAUUAGAGACUCUAGUUUGAAGCGGUCUUACCGAAAGGGCAAGAGGAGUGGCGGUUGUCGGGGUAUAACCCGGUCCUCUUGGGAUGUGGGCUUUGCUAAGACACUAUGCCCAUUAGGGAGGUUUAUACUCUGCUACUGCUCCGGAAACCUUAGCGGACUACUUCUUACUAGGGAAUCUUUGUAAAGGCCUCGUAGUGUCCCUAUGCAACCACACCUCGGAAGUGUGGUAUUGUGCCUGAUCAGCACAGCGUGGUUGGGUCCAAAGUUCUUUUUAACUUUUACCCGACUUGUGGGUAAAGUGUACAAUCUCUGCAGAGUGUUUAAAACUGAUAUAUCAGCCGUGCUCACGGUCAUGAGCGGCCUGGACCCUCACAUGAUAACUGAACUUGAAGAAUGACUUAAUCUGUGGUGCUUUGGUUUAUAUUGUUGUAUCAUUUAUGAUCUAUUGCUUAAGUGGGUUGGUAUAAACUUAUACCUAGUAAAUAGGUGCUUGCUAAUAAAAUUUGACCAACUAAAAUGCUAACUCCUAUAAACCUCAGCUUUUCCUUGGUAGCCUUGCAUCUUCCCCCACUUGCUGAGUACCAACCAUAAAUGUACUCACAUUUGCCUAAUUGCUGCUCAAAAGAGAAUGUUGGAAUGGAGAACUACAUCAACUUCAAGAAGUUCUAGGCAUGCGUUCACCAGUCAAUUGCCUAUGGGAUUGGAUGAAGCUUUGUUGAAGAUAUCGUAUAGGAUAUCGGUGGAACGUCUAAAGACCUUCGCGUCUAUUUAUCGGAGUGUAAUAAAGUUAUUUACUCUCUCUUGCUUACGUUUUGGACAUUGUCUUUGAUAUAUUUCACUUAUGACGUCUAU